CAUUACCAACAGUCUUAAAACAGUGCAAAAUAUUAGGAAAGCAAGAGGGAUAAGAAUCCUAUGGUUCUAAAGAGUUUUUCCGCAAAAGACGAAGCACAGAAGAAGAAGAAGGAGAUACAUAAUAUAAGAUAAAAACCUUCAGAUUUGAGGACAAAGAGAGCUCCUGCAUCAACAUCAUUUUGGUGGUGAAGCUGUUGAACACCAUUUGGGUUCUCAGAUUUUUCAUCUGGAAACAGAGUUCCCAUCCUCUCUUAUGAGUGAAGAAGAUCUUAACCAAAGAAUAGAGUGAUUGAGAGCAUAAUAUAUAACACCAUAUAUAUGCAUAUAUAAGAGAACCUCAGUAUUUUUACAGAAAAGAAGGGUGAAUUUUGACCAGGAUCUAUCUCAGUGAUGCUACUUUUAUAGACUUGUGCACUAUGCAAUCAGUCCAACUUGGAAAUACCAAGAUAUAUGACCUAAGCCUCAUUCAGAUGAUGACCUAAAUGGCCUCACUCUACAUCUAUGCUUCAUGAUAUUUCCACACUUUAGGGGAAUUUUCCUGUUACUUUUCCCUUUCUAUUUUUAAUUCAUCUUUCUUUUCCCUCUAAUCAAUAUGCUAAUUGAUGGACAAAUUAGAAAUAAGAAGACAAAACGAAUACUCACUUCAUUUGGUUCACUACAAAAUUCAAUGACACUGAAAUAAAAACAAAAAAUAUUUUGAACAUUCAACAAGACAAAAAUUGUUAGAAGAAACUCAGUUAAAAAUAUACAUAAAUUUUUAAAAUAGUUAAAUCUUGAUUAAAUUAAAAGAUUUUUUUUAUUAAAUAUCUUGAUGUUUUCCAUUUUCUUUUUUACAUUAUAGGUUGAUACGAUAUUUAUCAACCUUAUCAAUAAUUAAAAUUUAUCAAGGACCAAUUAUUAAAAAUUCGAUUGACUAUUCUUCGAAAAAGUUUAUCAACUUUAUUGAUGAUUAAAAUUUAUCAAAAAAAUUGACCGAUCAAAUUUUGUAAAAAAUUAUCAACUUAAAAAAUAUUUAAUUGUAGAGCUAAAAAAAUUGACAAGAAAAACAACUCAGAAAAGAAUUUCAAGGUUAAAUAAAAUAUUAAUAUGUAAGAUCAAUCCACAAAAUUAGAUUAAAGACUUAAUUUAACAACUUUAUUGUUACAUAUAAUUUGAUUGAAAAAUGUUUAUAUAAAUUAUGGAUGCUCUGAAUUAUCUUUCUUUUUAAUUACAUGUUACUAAAACAGGAAACCAUGUUCAAGAGAACCAAAUUUUGAAAAAAAAAAGCUUAUUCGAUAUAUCUUAUAUUUUUCUAAUAAGUUUUGCAAGAAUUUUUGUCAAUAAAAAGUGUGUUGAACAAAAAAAAUUUAAGAUUAUAUUUUCCUCGGGCCAGAGUAAGUGUUGUUGUCACAAACAACCUUGUGGAAUUCAAAUUGGAACAAAGAUUCUAAUUUGAAGAAGUCACUGAAUGAAAGUUGGAUGAAUGAGUUUCAUUACAAGUAAGGUUCUUUUCUUCACAUACUUGUCCGUGAACAAAUUGGGAGUUGUUACGCCAUAGUCAACAUAAGUUAGGUAGUUAUGAAUAAAAAUACUAAUGAUGAGAAACAUGAUGAACUGAUAGUCAGAGGUUAACAUAACAUGACUAAGGCAGAAUAAAUGACGGUGUUGAUUAGAUUGUAGAUGGAGCUUGUUGAGCUAAAAAGAGUCGUGUAUUGGCCUAAUACCCUGUCCCACACCUUUGGAAUGGUAGGAGCUGUUGAACCAAGUGGUGUUCAAUGUUUUGAAGAAUUUAAAUCCUUUGAAGGAUGUUGAAGCCUCUGCUAUGCUUGAUGUUGCUGUACUGGUUUAAGCUUUGUUCUGGGGUAGUUUAUAUGUUGUAAUCCACCCUGUGAUUAAAUCUAAAGCAUUAGCAUUCUCAAUCUUUGUGAAAACAAAAUGAUUUCAAACUAAGUAAAAACAACCGAUUGUUUUGUCGAAACAACCGAUUGUUUAUACUUAGGUGUUUUGAGAAAAAGAUUGAAAACUGUUUUGAAUGGUUGAACUGUUAAGUACCAAAACAACCGAUUAAUUUGAGGAAACAACCGAUUGUUUGUUUUGGGACCAUAACAAAAAAACUGUUUUCUUUGACUGAGCUUUAAAUGAUUUAACUGCUUACGCUCCAGUCAUUAAAUGCUUUGACCAAUCUUUUAAUGCAAUUUAAGAGUUUGUUAAGAUUUGAUAACAAACUACAUCUUUGAAUAUAUUCAGAAAAAUAGAUUUAAGAAUUAAGAAUCUUUGACAAAGUUUUUCUAAGAGAGUUUUUCAAAGUGCUGAGAUUGCUAAGUGUUUGUGAUUGAUCAAAGUGCUGGAAUAGGAUUCUGCUUGUAUUGAUUUCAGAUUAUCUUCUGUAACAAGUGUAAUCCUUGUACUCUGUUGAACAAUUUCGUUUCUGUGUUUGCUGAGAUUGGCUGUGUGUUCUUGAGGUGUUCAAGAUCAGCAAUCUUAGUGUUGGCCAAGGAGAGUGUGUUUCUUGAGGUGUUCAAGGUCAUUCUCUUGGUUGUUGUGUAAGUGAUCAAGUGGUGAUUGCUUACUGGACAUCCUCAGGGUUUCUGAGAAGAAUGGAUGUAGCUCUGGAUUUGGAGUGAACCAGUAUAAACAACUGUGUACAAUCUCUCUAUCUCUAACUCUUUAAAUUCAGUUUAUUUAUUGGUUGCUGGUAUAAACAACCGAUUGUUUCUACGAAACAACCGAUUGUUUUUCUGGUACUAUAGCUUUUGCUUGCUGUUUUGGCUAACUGAAUUACUGAAUCAAUUGGUUCCUGAGAUAAAUUCAUUCUAGUUUUGAAAAGUUUGCGAAAACCCUCAUUAAACAAUUCACCCCCCCUCUAGUUUAAAACCAUCUUUUCUAACAGGAGCAACCCUCUGAAACCCCUUUUAUGAAGGCAUCUUGGUAGCAAAAUUUUCCUCAAGUUGGAAAGGACAGUUGGUGAUAAGUCAACCUCAUCAUCUAACCUCCGUAGCACUAGUAAAUAUCUUGCAAGAAAAAGGGGAACCACUAUACCUAUUUAUGGAAAGGUUCAAAAAGUAGCGUUGAACAUCCAAAACCUUAGAUCUAAGGUAGCUUUCCACCACAUGGUCACGACUUGAGAUUGAGGCCACUCGCGAAUAACUUGUGUAAAAAGCUAGCGGCCAACUUGGAUGAGCUAUGGUUAAGGGCGCAAAAUUUAUGUAAUUGGAGGAACUGUGACAAUUUAUAAGCAAGGACAAGUUCGAGAUAGCCCUCAAAGAGAAAGCAUGCUGAGAAGUUUAGCCGACAACAAAAUACUAUCAAAGUUAGAGAACACAAAAUGAAAAAAUUCACCAAACAUACCCCUCUAACUGCAAAUCAAAGUCGAAUCCUAGAGGAAGCCCUCAAUGUUGAAAUCAUCCCUAUGUAGAAAGGUAACAACCCCAUCGAACCCUGACACAAGAAAUUAAUAUUGGUACCAAAACAAAUUCGGCCACAUAAUUGAAGAAUGCCAGACUCCGAAAGACAAGAUUGAGGAGCUAAUACAAGUAUAACACCUCAAACAAUACAUCAAGGAAGCCAUAUACCCAACAAGACCUUGGUCCUUAGAAAGAAAUAGUUGGAAUAGAUAUGACUAUCGUGGAGGUCAUUGUUGAGAAGAGAACGAGCAGUAAAGACCAUCCCAAUGACCUAGAUCAAGGGAAACCCGAGACACCCCCCUAAGGGGGUGAUGAACACAAUCGCUAACUAAUUUUUUGGAUGUGGGCCUUCCGCCUCUGCUUGAAAGAAUUACCUUUAAGUAGUUCAUCAGUAAUGCAAUGACGUCCUCACUAUUGAACAAGGUGCUUUGAUGUUUCCAAAUCUUCUUUGAAGACUUGAAGAAUUUGCUACUGUGUGUAUUGUUUAGUAGAUUUUGAGUUGUUAAUUUACACCUAGUUAUGAUCCAAGUUCAUUUGAUUCUAAAUAUCUUUUAAAAGUUUUGGUUUUCAAAUCUGUGUUAAUUUUAGUUAGUUCUUGUGUGGUUUAAAUAAGUUGAAAAAAUUUAUGUUCAAAGUUUGGUGACUACAACAAUUUUUCAACCGGUUGAUUUAUGUGACAAUUGAUUGAAUUACACUUAAUGUUUCUAAAAGGAUUUAAAAAUUAUUUGUUUCUCUUUUCUCUUUUUUGUAAAGAAAAAAAAUCGGUUAUUUUGAUAAUUGAAUUGGUUGUUUUAUGUGCAAUCUUUAAGAAAAAAAAAAUCAAUUUGUUUUGGAAAUCAAUCAAGUGUUUUUAACAUAAUUUUGUUAUGUUUUUCAAACUAUUUUUAAAUGCUUUUAACUGAUUUAUUUCAAUUAAUGAUAAAAUGAUUUUAACCUCUUUUUUAAAGUUUAUAUAAAGACUUUUAUGAUCAUUUCAAGUAGAAGAAGAGAGUUUUAUAAAAAAAAACUUUUCCAAGAGAAGAUCAAAGAGUUUUUACUCAUUCUUGGAGUCUUGGAUCAUUGCUUGUGUGUGAAGUAGGAAUCUAGGUUUUCUAUUCAAUUGUUCUACGAAUUUGUACGAAUUUGUAAAGCCCAAAUGUAUUAUAUUUCUUUAUUUUAAUAUUGUAUUAUGGUGUAAAACAGUUUUAGAAAGUGGUUUUGAAAAGUGUGAUGUUGGCUAAGAGUGUUGUGUGUUAUUGAGGGGUUUAAGAUCAACUUUUUUUGUGUGGUUUUGUAAUUUGAUUUUGAUUGCAUAGUGAAUUCAUAGUGGUUAGCUGAGGAUUAGAUGUAACUCUUGGUUAAAAGUGAACCUGUGUGAAUCUCUUUUUCCUUCUCUGAUAAACUGCAAUAUAAUAUUUUCUAUUAUGCUGCAUUAAACAAUCAGUUGUUUCAAUUAAACAACUGUUAAUAUUUCUUAAAGAACUGCUAAUCUAUUAAAUAUUCCAGUUGAAUAGAUAAAUCAAUUGAUUGAUUUUACAAAUCUUUUCACCCUACUUCCAAUAUUUGCGAAAACAAUUCACCCCCUCUUGUUUAGGCCAUACGUUCUAACAAUUGGCAUCAGGAGCUGAGUUUUUGAAAGUUACUCAAGUUUCAAUCCUAAAUCUUUUUGAAAGAUGGCUAAAAAACUACCCUUUAGAGAGGUGGCUUCUAUAAACAGACUACCUAUGUUUUGUGGGCUGGACUAUAAAUUUUGGAAGGUAAGAAUGAAAAUUUUAGUUGAGUCAAUUGAUAGAAUAAUCUAGGAUGCUAUCAUCAAUGGUCCUUUUAUUCCUAAUCUUGAAAAAGAUGAUGCUUUUAUUGAAAAAGCUUGGUCCCAAUGGACUGGGAGUGAUGGGAAAAAGACUCAAUAUAAUUAUAUUUCCAAGAACAUCAUAACCUUUGCUUUGAAUUCAGAUGAUUUUUUCAGGGUUUCUCAGUGUGGAUUAGCAAAGAAAAUUUUGGACAUUCUUGAGGUGACCCAUGAAGGUACAACAGACAUAAAGAGGACAAGGAAGCAUGGAUUAGUUCAAGAGUACGAAUUGUUUAGGAUGCUAAAAGGGGAAACCAUCUCUGAUGUACAAAAGAGAUUUACUCACAUAGUAAAUAAUCUUAUUGGUCUUGGCAAAGUGUUUGAAAGAGAGGAGUUGAACAUCAAGAUCCUAAAAUGUUUGGACAGAUCUUGGCAGCCAAAGGUCAUUGCCAUUUCUAAAUCAAAGGAUCUGACUGCAUUGACAACUGCAUCUUGUUUGGAAAGCUCAGAGAGCAUCAACUUGAGAUGAAUCGAUUGAAUGACCAAGAAAAUGAAGAAAAGCAUGUGAAAAACAUUGUUUUAAAAACUGCAGCACAAAAGAUUGAUCAAGACUCAAGUGACUACAGUGGCAGUGAGACUCUCAAUCUGCUCACAAGGAAAUUUGGGAAGUUCUUGAAAAAGAACAACAGGGACAAAGCUCAAUCAUCAAACAUGUAUAAUAACAAGAAAACAACUUUGUUUAAUUAUGCAAAUUAUACUUGUUAUAGAUGUGGAAAACAAGGUCACAUAAAGGUUGAAUGUCCAACCACUAUGAGCAAAGAGAAAGGUGUUCACAGGAAGUAUGAGAAGAAAGGCAAAGCAAGAAUAGCAUACAUAGCCUGGCAGAUCAAUGAUGAUUUUUCUUCAAGUUCUUCAUCAAAGGAUAAUGAGGAAGUCAACCUAUGUUUGACGACAAAUGAGGAAGCUAACACAUUAUCCCUGUUAAACAAUCGAUUGAAAGGGUUAAACAAAUGGUUGAAAAAUCGAGUUAAGGCCUUAAAAGAACAGUUAAGUCAUUCAAAAACUGAUUUUGAAAACCUGUAAAUUAUUUACAAAAACUCUUCUUGUAAGUGUGCUAAUUCAAGCUUUUGUAAAAACUUUGAUUUCCUUCAAAAGAAGGUUCACUAUCUUUUAAAAACAGUAGAAAAGUUUUCCAAAGGGCAGUCCAAUUUUGAAAUUGUUCUUGCUUUUCAAAGUUGUGCUUUUGGCAAGGCUGAUCUAGACUUUAACACAAACAACAAGAACAAACCUUUUUCCAAUUUCUUUGAAAAAAAACAAUUAUUAAAUCAUUUCAACUGGCUAAAACUUGCUUUUACUGCAUGAAAAAUGACCAUACUGUUAAAUUCUACAAAGCAAGAAGGUUUGUUGUUCCUAAAGAUCUUUUGAAAUGAACUCGCAAAGUUCAAAUUAAUACCAUUGGACCCAUAUUCAUAAGGGACCAAAUCUUGCUCCUUAAUCUAUUUCUUGCAGUGUUCUUUGAUAGCCAAGAAACAACUUUGGUACUUGGACAACAGUUGUUCAAAGUACAUGACAGGGGAUAAAAGCAAAUUUGUCAAUCUGCUCCUUAAGCAAGAAAGUCAUGUUAUAUACAGGGACAAUAACAAAAAUAAAAUUUCUUGUAAGAGGAAUUGUUGGAAACAAGAACACAUUCUUGAUCAAUGAUGUGUUGUUUGUUGAAGGUCUAAAUCACAUCCUCCUCAGCAUACGCCAAUUGUGUGAUAAAGGUUAUCAAAUAACCUUCAAGCCCAACACUUGUGAAAUAUGCUUGCCCACAUCACAUGAAAUAUUGUUAAUUGGUAAAAGAAUCAACAAUAUUUAUUUGCUUGAUAUUUCAAACUCUGCAUCUGAAAUAGGUUGUCUCCUAACCAAACAUGAGAAAUCAUGGUUAUGGCAUAGGAGAAUAACACCCAUUCACAUGCGUCAUUUAAACAAGUUGAUUUUGAAAGAUCUAGUUGUUGGUUUACCCAAACUCAAGUUUGAGAAAGACCAUAUAUAUGAAGCAUGUCGAAAUGGAAAGCAAAUUAAAAAUUCUUUUAAACUGAAAAAUAUAGUUUCAACUUCCAGGCCUCUUGAGUUGCUUCACAUGGAUUUGUUUGGUCCUUCAAGAACCAUGAGUAUUGGUGGAAACAACUAUGCACUUGUUAUAGUUGAUGAUUUCUCUAGAUUUACAUGGACACUAUUUUUGGAAUUCAAGAGUAAUACAUUUUCUACAUUUAAAAAUCUUGCCAAGAGAUUGCAAAAUAAAUGUUGCAGUAAUACUUGUGUCAUUUGCAAUGACCAUGGGGGAGAAUUUCAAAACGAAAAAUUUAGUUUUUUUUUUUUUUUUGAAAACUGUGUCUUCAUAAUUGUCUAUUCCUAAAACUCCUCAACAAAAUGAGAUUGUUAAAAGGAAAAACAUAUCUAUUGAGGAACUUGUUCGAAUCAUUUUAAGUAAAUCUUCACUACCAAAAUAUUUAUGGACUGAUGUUGUAAGCACAACUUGCUAUGUAAUUAAAAGAGUCCUCAUUAGACCAAUUUUGAAGAAAACUCCUUAUGAACUAUUUAAUGGAAGAAAACCCAACAUUGGUCAUUUCAGAGUGUAUGGUUACAAAUGUUAUAUUUAAAAUAAUGGGAAGGAAAACCUUGGCAAGUUUGAUGAAAAAGCGGAUAACGACAUCUUCCUUGUUUAUUCCUUAAGUAGUCAUGCAUAUAGAGUUUAUAACAAAAGAUUAAUGACCGUGGAAGAAUCUUUUCAUGUUGUUUUUUUAUGAAACUAACCAUACAGAACAUGAUUAUCUUAAGAAAUCCACAAAAGAGGAUGAUUAGGAUACAAUUCUGCAGAAGAUGCAUCUCUACCUUAAAAAAUAACUGGAUGAAACUGCGAAUCAACCAGUUGAAAUCCUGCAUCAGACUGAUCUUUCCAAAGAAUGGAGAAUCCCAAGAGACCUUUCUCUGAACAACAUCAUAGGACAAAUUGAUAAGGGAGUCUCUACUCAAAACUCUAUUACUAAUUUAUGCAAACACAUGGGAAUUGUUUCUUAAAUUGAACACAAACCUAUUUCUUGUACCUAAAUCUGAUUGCAUGAAUGUCAUUAGAACAAAGUGGAUAUUUAAAAAUAAAUUGGAUGAAUCUGGUAUGAUAACUAGGAACAAAGCUAGAUUGGUUGCUAAGGGGUAUAAUCAAAAAGAAGAAAUCUAUUAUGAUGAAACCUUUACACUUGUUGCUAGAUUAGAAACUGUGAGAUUACUGCUUGCAUUUGCUUGUAUGAGUGGCUUCAAACUUUUUCAGAUGGAUGUGAAAAGUACAUUUCUCAAUGAAUUUAUCAAUGAAGAAGUUUAUGUUUCUAAACCUCCCAACUUUGAAGAUCAUAUACAUCCAAAUCAUGUAUACAAGCUUAAAAAGGCUUUUUAUGGACUAAAGCAUGCCCCAAGACAGUGGUAUGAGAGGUUUAGUAAUUUUCUCUUAUCUCAUGGCUAUGAGAGAGGAAAAAUUGAUAAGAUUUUUUUUUUAUUAAAAGGUCUAAAUCAACUAUGAAUCUAGUUCAAAUAUAUGUUGAUGGUAUCAUUUUUGGAGCUACUAAUGAAAACCAUGAUUGUAACAGCUAUGCAUGGAGAAUUUGAAAUGUCCUUGAUGGGGGAGUUAUCCUUCUUCUUAGGACUACAUGUUAAGAAAUUAAAGCAAGGAAUUUUCCUAAGUCAAACAAAGUACUGCAGGAAGAUCCUAAAGAAGUUUGAUAUAGAAAACUACAAAAAGGCUUCCACUCCAAUGUUAACAAGCUCUGACAUGAAUGCAUACUUGGCUGGAAAAGUUGUUAAUCAAACGAAAUUCAGAGGGUUGAUUGGAUCUUUGAUGUAUCUCACUACUAGUAGGCUUGACAUUAUUCAACAUCACCUACGAACUAUUAGCCAAAGAUCUCUAUUACCUAUCAACUAUUACCCAUUGAUCUUUAUUACCUACCAACUACUACCAUUGAUCUCUAUUUACAUACCAACUACUACCCACUGAUCUCUAUUACAUACCAAUUAUUAUCUAUAGAUCUCCAUUACCUACUAACUUUUAACCCACGAAUAUUUAUUACCUACUAAUUAUUAUAUCUCUAUUACCUACCAAAUAUUCUAAUAAUAAUAAUAAUUAUAUACAUAAUAUUAAAAAUAUUAUUAUAAUAUGAAUAUUUAUAAAAUGAUAAUUAAUAUUCAUAAAUAAUAAUAAUCAAAACUAAUAAAUAUACAUAUUAUUAAUAUUAUAAAAUAAAUAAUACUAAUAUAAUAAUAUAAAUAAUAUUAUUAGUAUUAUAUUAACAAUCUGAAAAAUAUGAAUAUUAUUAUUAAUAAUAUUAAUAUUAUUAGAAAUAUUAAUAGUAUUAAUAAUAUUGAUAAUAUGAAUGAAAUUAAUAAUAUUAGUAAUAACAAUAUUAAUAAUAUAAAUACUAUUUAUAUAUUAGUAAUAACAAUAUAAAUAAUAUAAAUACUAUUUAUAUAUUAGUAAUAACAAUAUUAAUAAUAUAAAUAGUAUUUAUAUAUAAAUACUAUUAAAUAUUAUUUAUAAAAUUAAUAAUAUUAACACUAUUUAUAAUAUUAAUAAUACUAAUAAUAUUUAAUAAUAUUAAUAAUGCUAAUCAUAUUUAAUAACAUUGAUAAUAUUUAAUAACAUUGAUAAUAUUUAAUAAUGUUAAUAAUAUUUAAUAAUGUUAAUAAUAUUUAAUAAUGUUAAUAAUAAUAUAAUAUUCAAUAAUAUUUAAUAAUAUUUAAUAAUAUUAAUAAUAUUUAGUAAUAUUAGUAAUAUUUAAUAAUAUUAAUAAUAUUAAUAAUAUUUAAUAAUAUUAAUAAUAUGUAAUAAUAUUAAUAAUAUUAAUAAUAUUUAAUAAUAUUAAUAAUAUUAAUAAUAUUUAAUAAUAUUAAUAAUAUUUAAUAAUAUUUAAUAAUAUUAAUAAUAUUUAAUAAUAUUAAUAAUAUUUAAUAUUAUUAAUCAUAUUUAAUAAUAUUAAUCAUAUUUAAUAAUAUUUAGUAAUAUUAAUAAUAUUGAAUAAUUUUAAUAAUAUUUGAUAAUAUUUAAUAAUAUUAAUAAUGUUUAAUAAUAUUUAUAAUAUUUAAUAAUAUUAAUAAUAUUAAUAAUAUUUAAUAAUAUUUAAAAAUAUUAAUAAUAUUUAAUAAUAUUUAAAAAUAUUAAUAAUAUUUAAUAUUAUAUUAAUAAUAUUUAAUGAUAUUAAUUUUUUAUGAUAUUAAUAAUUUUUAAUAAUCUAUACUUAUACAUACCUCUUUAACUGCUUUCAAUUUUUUAUUUAUUUUAUCUUUACUAGCGGGAACACAGGCACUAACGUGCCUGUCUAUCCGCAUUUUUUAUUUUUUUAGUAUUUUUUUAUUUUUCAAAAACAAUUUUUCUUAAUAACAUUAAAAUGAGAAGUUAAAGAGUAGUGGAGAAAGAAAGUGGGAAAGUUGAAAGUAGGAUAUGUGGGUUAUGUGUAGUAGAGAAUCAUAAAAUCUCUUUCUUAAAUCAAUUUUAAUAAAAAAAAUAUCAGUUUAAAUCAGAAAAAGUAACGUACCAAAUUUUCACUCUCCGGCUAAAGUGGUCCACAAAAUAUUACAUUAUUUAAUAGAGAAGAAGAUCUUUAAUAGAGAAAGUAACUAAUCAAUCUCUCCACUCUCUCCAUUCUCUCCACUCUCCAGUUAAAUAAUAACAAAUAAAAUAAAUUAAAAAAUUAUUUUAUUAAUUUUUGAAAUUAUAAAAUGUCCAAAUAACCAAAAUAAAUUAAUACAAUCAAUUAUUAAGUAAGGAUAAAAUGGAAAAAAAAUUAAGAACAGUUAAGAGGGGAAUAAGAAAUGACACAAUGAUCAUAAUACAAUAAUAAAAUUAAAUAUUAAUAUAAAAAUAAAAAAAAUAAAAAAAAUUAAGAGCAGUUAAGAGAGGAAUCUCCUUUAUAUAUAUACUUUAUAUAUAUAGGUAUAGAUAAAUAAUAACACUAAGAAGUAUCAUUCUACAAGUAACGAAAUUUGGUGAAGAAGACAGAAUAAUAGAAAUACGAUGAACCGAAGUUUUUAAAGAUGAUUAAAAACGUGAUUGUUUUCUUGGGAUGUUUAAUCAGUCAAACAAUAUUUAAUGUCAUGUGAGGUAAUAAUCAUGUUUGACCCACUAUUAUUUUGAUAUAAGAUAUGCUUAAAUAAACUUUAUACAUAAUUUAAAAAUAAAAUAAAAUACUCUCAAGCUCUCUAUAUCUCUCAUACAUAUAAAUACACAUAAAUUUAUAUUUUAUUUAAAUAAAUAUAAAUAAACAUAAUAAUAAUAAAAAUAUAGUAAAAAUGCUUGUGUUCCUACUAGUAUUAAUAAUAUUAAUACUAUUAAUAAUAUUUAAUAAUAUUAGUAAUAUUAAAAAUAUUUAAUUAUAUUAGUAAUAUUAAAAAUAUUUAAUAAUAUUGAUAAUAUUAAUAUUAAUAUUAUAAUAAUUAAUAAUAUAAAUUAUAUUAAAUAUAUGAAUAAUAUUAAUAAUAUUUAUAUUAUUAUUAAAAAUCAUACAGUAUAAUAAAUAAUCAUGAAUUGAUUCACUUUAUAUUUAUAUACCACCUGUUUGACUUUGUUGCAUGUUGGUGUGGAUGCGUGUGGUGUGGGAUAUGAGAGUGAUAAGAGUUAGGUUAAGAUUUUUAUAAGAAGGGUGGACAAUUAUAAAGUGAGGGGUAUGUGUUUCCAAAUGAGAGGGUUUCCAGAGGGGUCAAAGAAAUGAGAUUUGCAAAAAUACAAUGUUUUAGGGAAAAUAUAUUUUUGGGAGAAUGAGGAAUGUUGUGGAGGGAAUGAGAAUAAAAUUAUUUUUUGAGAAAAAGAGAAUGUUGUGGAGGGAAUGAAGAAAAAAUAUUUUUGGGAAAAAAUAAUGUUGUGGAACGAAUGAGGAAAUCUAUUUUGGAAAAAAUAUGAAUAUUAUGGAGGGAACAAAAAUGCGGAGAGUGGUCUACUUCAUAAAAUGACAAUUCUAAAUGACAUAUUUUGAAGUAAAAAUGUGUCACAUAUUAAAUUGUCGUAUUAUAUGGAUAAUUAUAGCAGUUUUUAAUAAUUGUCGUAUUAAAACCAUCACACCUUACAUGUUUUCUUAAAGUGUAAAUAAUUAGUUUGAAAAUUUAGAGACUACUAAUGGUAAGGAAAUUGUCGAAUAAAGUAGUUACAAGUUUUAGAAGAUUAAAUGCAUAUAGAAUAUUUCUUAAGAGUAUCUAGUAAUACUAUUAACGAUAUUAUUUAUAUUUUGUAAAUGUUAGAGAACAUUGUUGUAGAAUUCUAAAAGUUAUUUUCAAUGUAUAAAAUACCUUUGAAUAUAGUACACAAAGCAAAGCAAAGAAGAAAAAUAAAAACACGAGUUCAAUUCUCAAUUAUUUAUCUUCGUCUAAAUAUUGCACCUUUAAAAUAACACCAAGAUAUAUGAAUUGUACCACCAGAUUUCAUUAGAUAGUUCGAUGUAUGAACAACCAAAUCAUACAUUAGCAAAUAAUCUAUAACUUUUGGCAUCAAGAACUAUUUGUCUAACUGCUGCAACUGCUGCUAUUGCUCCCAAUGCAGAGAAAGCCACAACAAUAGUUACAUUCAACCAGUAAAUAGAGCUUCGCUUAGAUGGCUUAAAUGUGAAAUUGUAGAAAAUCACUGGCAGAAUGAAAUCAAGAGGGAUAAAGCCAAAAGCUCCAAUAAGAGAAUUUAUGUCUCCAAAAAAUGGAAGCAUGGCUGCUAUAAUGGUUGAAAGAGUAAUAGCUAGUGAUCGAGAAAUCACUCUAGGGAUUACAUUGCGUUUGGAAAACUCAGGGCUUUUUGGAUCUCCAAAUGUUUGCUCCAACACUUCAUUUGUUGGUUGCAAAUAAACCUACAUUCAAAUUCAAUGAUUAUUUUGCUUAAGAUGAAACUCUUUUAAGUUAUUUUCAUAAAAAACAAAUGAUGGUGUUAAAAGUACUGUUAUUUGUUUCUUAUAUAAAGAAUCAUAAACAAGAGUAAAAAUGUGUUGGCAUAUUUAAUGUUAUUGUUUGAACAUGAGGUAAAAUUUAAUUAUGCAUGCUUUAAUAGAUCAAAUGAGCAAUAAUUAGUAUAUGACAUACCACACCAACGGCUGAUAAUUGUGUUAUAGUGAAAAUGUUGGUCAUGUAAAUGAACCAUGUGGGCACCAGAGGGUUCCCAUUGUCCACAAAAUUGCUUAAUAUGAGGCCUUCAGAUUUGUUGCCAAAUGCCCAAUAACCAGAUACAGAUACACUAAAAAAAGUGACAAUAAGUGCAAAAUAACAAACACAUAGUGCCUUGAACAUCUUCCCUUUUACUGGUGGUGUUAGUGUUGCCUACAACCACAGAAGAAAUGCAAUUAAGCACAAUAAGGUUGUUUUUAAUGACAAGAUUAGUUAUUAUGAUGGACCUGAAUUUCUGGAAUGAUUCCAUUUCCAUAAGUCGUGGCAAUGAUGACAAUUGCAUUGAAGAUUCCAAAUAAGCGAUUCUUAGUAUCACCUUUCAAAGAGUAGUCUUUUUCUGGUCCUUUGGAUGACUCUCCUGUAACAACAUUGUAAAUUCAAAACCAAAAGUUUCAAUUCAAUUGCCAAAGCAUAAAGUGAAAAAUGCUAAAUUACCAAAAGAAGUCUUAAGAAAUGAAUUUUAACCCUAACUAAACUAAUGAGUUCUGCAUUUACUAAAAUAUUAUGAAUUGGUAUUAUUUCUAGUCGACUUGGGAUUAUGAAAGACUUUAAAUGGUUCUGAUAUCAUCUUAAGAUGUAAUACUUUAAGUUUAUAUGAACUUUACAAAAUCGACUUGUAAGAUGAGAUUUGUAUAUAUAUAUUAUGAAUUGACUUUAUCUCUAGUUGACGUGGAAUUUCCGAUAAGAAAAAAAAUUAGUUUAAAAAAUUACCAAUGUAAGUGGAACCAAGAGUAGCACAACCACUAUAUGCCAAGCAGAGAAUCAAUGACACUAGAUUAAUGUGCCUCAAUGAGUGGAAAGCUGGAAGCUGAGCCAAAAUUAGCAUGAAGCAUCCAAAUAUGAUUACAAACUCGUAAAGCUUCAUGGUCCCGUUUGGAUUUGACAACAAGUAAAUUGCCUGCAUAUAGAAUAGGGAGUCAUCUUUGAUUAAAGAACCAAUGAUUUGAAAAUUACAGAAAAAUGCAUGCACAUAGUUUAUAAUAUAUAAAAAUAUAGUUUUUUAUUUGAUAGAUAAAUAAGUGGGAUAAAUAGUUGAUGAUAACCUUCAUGCAUUGUCCUCCUAAAAGAGUGCAAGCCACUACAGCACCAAAACAAACUGCGAACUGAAUUGGACCAACAAAAUAACGACCCCAUCUUGGACCUGUCAAGAUUAUAUUUACAUUAGUAAAAGAAAGAAGAGUGUUUCUUAAUGCACCCUAUAAAAAUUCUUCCUGCACCCCAUCAAUUUCAGAAAAGAGUGUUUGGGUUACUUUUUUUGGAAUGUUUCCAAGACAUAUUUUCCCGAGUUCAUGAAUUAUAUUCCUGGAAAAUGUUUUCGAGAACAAAAUUUUUGGAAUAAACUUUCCAGAAUGUAUUAUAUAUGUUCUAGAAUGUGUUUUCUGGAAUAACUUUUUUGGAAUGUGUUUUCCAAAAUAAAUUUUCAAGAGUAUACAACUUUUCGGAUGAUAGUGAAUUAGAGGGGCAUUUUAGUAAUUUUGUCUAAAUGAUGAGGUGUAGGAAAAAAUUUUAGGAUGUAGGAAGAAAUUUGACGGAGUGCGGAAACCAAAGACAGCUUGAAGAAUUAUAAGAGAAAAAAAAAGCCUAUAAGCGUUCUACAUACUUUUAACUAUAGUUUCAUAGAAACAAACAUACUCAUUAACACUUUAGAUGAUUAAAAAACCAUUUUUAUGCACAAACUAGAAUAAUUAUCUGAUAAUGUUUUAAAAAUUUAUUGUUCAAUAAAAGUGUUUUUUUAAUUUUUUUUCCUUUAGUAAUUAUAUAUAUAAAUAUAUAUCCUUCAAUUUAUUAUUAUUUUUUUAAUAUUUUAAAUUAAAUUAUAAUAAAAAAUAAAAUUGUAUCAUAAUAUAAUUAAUUUCAAAAAAUUUGAUUUUUUUAAUACUAAAGUUGUGUAAUUUAUGCACAAUGUCAUUUGUUUUCAUUUAACACUAAAGUCACAAUUUUUGUGUAAUUUUUUAACCAAAAUAGUUAUACCAUGAUAUGACUUUUAACUUCAAAUUUCACCACACUAAAAUCAUUUCAUUGAUCCAACUUUUUCACACAAAGUCAUGCUCUCAAAGUAUGAAUUACCAAUAUCAUAAUAAACUUUUUUUUAGUCAUUCUUGUACUUACAAAAUAAAAUUAUAGCAUUUUAUUGCAAAAGUUACUAUUAACUUAAUUAACUUAAUGUCUACAAAAUUUAGUAACAAAAUCUUUCAUUGAAUAAAUUGUGGUACUUUCUUAAAAGGAUAGAUGUAAUAUACAUUUAAGUUUAAAUAACCAAAUCAAUCACACUCAUGAAAUUAACCUCAUGUGAAAUCCUAUUUUUUCUUUAAUAUACUAAACCUUAAACAAAACCCACAUGUCACACUUAAUCUCACAUCCUUAGGUUUACAAAUUAUAGUGACAAAGAAAGAUUCAAGAGGCGAUUGAGUAGGAAAUGAGGUACCUAAAAUAUCACGAGCCAUGUCUCUGAAACGUAGCUGACGUUUACCAUUUUGGGCGUAGUGUUCAAGAACCCUAGAUAUUAAAUUAUAUGAAUAGAAGGUCACCAAUGCUCCAAUCACCAAGCUUAAGAUCCCAGCCGUCCAUCCAAGGAAGGUAAAUGCAUAAGGAAGACUCAAAAGAGGUGGUGCCACAAUCGAUGUUGUCAAAUGGUAUCCACAAUGCAUCCAAGAACCUGCAAAAUCACACAAAAUAAAUAAUAUCAACAACAACAACAAUAAUAAUAAUAAUAAUAAUAUCAUUCGGUUUCUAAAGAGUUUUUCCGCAAAAGACGAAGCACAGAAGAAGGAGAUACAUAAUAUAAGAUAAAACCUUCAGACUUGAGGACAAAGAGAGCUCCUGCAUCAACAUCAUUUUGGUGGUGAAGCUCUUGAACACCAUUUGGGUUCUCAGAUUUUUCAUCUGGAAACAGAGUUCCUAUCCUCUCUUAUGAGUGAAGAAGAUCUUAAUCAAAGAAUAGAGUGAUUGAGAGCAUAAUAUAUAACACCAUAUAUAUGCAUAUAUAAGAGAACCUCUGAGUAGUUUUACAGAAAAAGCAGUGUGAAUGCAUAAGGAAUACUCAGAAGAGUUGGUGCCAAAAUCGAUGUUGUCAAAUGGUAUCCACAGUGCAUCCAAGAACCUGCCAAAUCACACACAAUAAUAUCAUAAAUAAUGAUAAUAAUUAUAAUAUCCAUUUUUUGAAUUGUAAUUUUUUUCAUGUCAUAAUUGCUUGGUGUACGUCCACAUGCUCUUCAAUUAUUAAACACCAAACAGUCAACAGUUUGGUGAUAAAAAAUUAACAACCACACAGUCAACCAAUUAAGUCAACCAAUUGGUUCAUCAAAGUCGGCUAGGAAAAGCCAAUAACAACAACGAAUUGAUUUCUACGAUGAAAUCUUGAUUCAUUUGAAAGCUAGGUUUUAUCAUUAACCUCCAUUAAUUGUAAUAUAACUAAUAUGUAUCGAUCGAGUUUAACAUUCUUAUAAAUUCGAACAAUAUUUCGAGAAAUCCAGAAAUUAUAAGAUAAAUAAAUUAAUAUUAUUUUAUUAAAGAUAUCAAGUACAUUUCAUGAAUGAAAUAGUACACUAUAAAUAAGUCUUGUUAUCCAGAGUUAGGUACGUUUUUAUCAAAUACAUCACACACUCUUAAUACAAAGUAGUUACUUAAUCGUCAAAGAACUCUUUGUAGGUUAACUUUCAAUCUAACACCAAAGAGCGAGUACAAGAAGAACUGAGAAAUACAAGAACACGAAGAAAAGAAUAUGAGAAUAACAAAAAAAGAGUGACAAAAAAUAAAAAACAAUUGUUAUAACUAGCUCCAGAUAUUAUUUAGACUAUAUCCGUGUGUACAAAUACAAAAAGUAUAUAUUUAAAUGUUUAUAUACUUUUUAGUUAAUUCUUACGGAUCAUAAUGCUUAGAAGUUUGAGACGUUGUGCACAAUGUUUAUCUACCAUAUCUGGUAAAUACUUUUCAUACUCAAUUUGAAGAAACAUAGUUAUCUAUUAAUUAUGGUAACAGUCCUCUGUAUGGUGUUGGUUUAUGGGAUGAAAUGUGAGAGUUUGUAGUAGUUAUUUUACUUUUAAUUUUUUUUUAAGAAAUAAAAUCUAAAUUUAACUCAAUUAGUUUAUACAAAAAUAUUUACAUUUAUUUAUAUAUCACAAUUUAAUUUAUUAUUAAUUGAUAUGAGAUAUUUAAUACACAUUUAUCAUGAGACAAGUUAACUUAUACAUGUAAGACUAGAUAUUUAUAAAUAUUCUAAAAUAACAUAAGAUAUAAUAAAUAUUAACAAUUUUUUACUCAAAUAAACUUUAAAUAACUAUCAUAUUAAGCAAACUUUAAACUUAAUUGAACUUUUAAAUAACUAUCAUAUUAAGCAAACUUUAAACUUAAUUGAACUUUUAUAAGAAAAUUAUAUAAGAAGAUGAUAAGAAAGAAUGAAGAUCUCUUUAUUCUCUUUCUAUAUUUACAUAACUCCAUAUACAGUAAAAUAUAAUAUAUAAUAUAUACAAGUGUAUGGAGACUUUCUCUCUCCAGAUCACAAGCUAAUUAUGUAGGAUCCAUUAAUCAUGGAAUUUUAUCAUUAUUAAAUUAAUUGCAUAUAAUUGCAUACAAUAUAGUACAAUAAUGUACUAUAGUUGCAUACAAUAAUUAUGUAUAAUUUGAUAAUUAUUAUUUACUUAAUAUUCCCUUCAAGUUGGUAGGUGAAGAUCAUGACCCCCAAUUUGUGUCGUAGCGUCAAAAAAUGUUCUUUGCCUAGUGCCUUCGUAAAAAUAUAUGCGAGUUGAUAUUGUGUCGGUACAGAUGAAUGACUGAUUAUCCCGACUUGUAACUUUUCUCGCACAACGUGGCAGUCUAUCUCAAUGUGUUUUGUGCAUUCAUGAAAUACUGGGUUUACUGCUAUAUGCAAUGCUGUUUGAUUGUCACAGAAAAGUUGAGUUGACAAGUUACAUGACACCUUUAAGUACUGCAAAAGAUAUCGCAACUAAACUAUCUCCAAACAAGUAUUGUCCAUCGCGCGGUAUUCUGCUUUCGCAAUGAUCUUGAUACAUUUGUCUUUUUUUUUUUUACUUCCAUGAGAUAAUAGAAGAACCAAGAAAAAUGCAAUACCCAGCGAAUUUUCUGACAACCUCCCAGUCUGAGCCGCAAUAAGCUAUCAAAUGUCAGAUUGUUCUCGGAUGGCAAUAGCAAUUCUUGUCCCGGUGAUCCUUUGAUGUACUUUAGGACUCAAAUUGCGGCAUCCCGAUGAGGUUUUUGUGGAGUCUGUGUAUAUUGACUUAGGGUCCGAACCAAAAAUACUAUAUCAGGCCGAGUAACCGUUAGGUAUAUUAGUGGUCCCACAAGUCGCAUGUAUUUGACUGGAUCCUUAAUAACUUUCCAUCGUCUGAUGUGAGUUUUAGGUAUUUCUCCAUGGAAAUUUUUCUAAACGAGCACCUGUGAGUCCAGUAUCCUGAAAAAUAUGAAACACAUAUUUUCGGAUUUUUUACCAUCAUGGGGUUAUUUUUUUUGCUUUUUACCAAAAUGGGGUCCGUUUAAAAAAAAUUACAAAUUUAGGCAAGUCGUGCCAAUUCAGCACGACUUCAUAUGCACAAAUCUUCCCAACUAGACAUGACUUUGCCAUGUCAUAAUGAAGUCGUGCCAACUCGGCAUGACUUCUGCCUUAUCAUAUUGAAGUCGUGCCAACUUGGCACAACUUCUGCACGUCAUAUUUUUUAUUUCUUUUAUUUUUAUUGUUUAUAUAUUGGUAGUAAGUUAUAUAAUGUUAAAAAUUAGUUUGAUACAUAAUUUUCUAAGAGGGUUAGUUUUAAGGAACAAAAAAUUGGAUAAUCGUGUAUGGAUCCUGUUUUAAUAGAAUGAAUAAAUACAUAGAUAAAUAAAAUGAAUGUUCUAAGAGUGUUAUGAAUGAAUAAAUACAUAGAUAAAGAAAAUGAGAAAAUUAAUAAUCAAACUUGAGUUGAAUUUUAUUAUUAAGCUUGUAUGUGCGGACAAUUGCUUCUAUUGUGACAUUCCGUUCUACAAUAUGAACAUUUUUUUGGCUUAUUUGGAAUUGAAUCAUCCAUUUCAUUACGAAUGUGUUGGGUGUUAGGUCUUCCUGAUUGAUGUCGACGCAUGAUGAGGUCAGGUAAGAAAUUUGGUCCCGUGUAAGUAGACCAAUAAUCCUGAUUUCGAACUGGAUUAAAUUGGACCUCGUAAGCCUUUAAAAUAUUGUGCAGAUUGUAUAUUGGGGCCUUUUAAAUAGCGACAUUUGUGGCUCAAUAUAUAAACAAUAAAAUUAAAUAAAAAAAUAAAAAAUUAUGACAUGGCAGAAGUCGUGUCAAGUUGGCACGAUUUCAGUAUGACAAGGCAGAAGUCGUGCCAAGUUGGCACGACUUCAGUAUGACAUGGCAGAGUUGUGUCUAAUUGGGACGAUUUGUGCAUAUGAAGUCGUGCUGAAUUGGCAUGACUUGCCUAAAUUUGUAAUCUUUUUUAAACGGACCCCAUUUUGGUAAAAAGCAAAAGAAAUAACCUCAUCAUGGUCAAAAACCCUAUAUUUUCUUUGUGACAUGUAAAUACUAGCUUUGGAACGGGAAAAUUCAAUCUCUAUAAAAUAUUUUAAGUCUCCAAGAUCUUUAAUGCGAAAUUGUUGUAAUAUACAGUCUCAGUCUUUAACACGCUGAAUUUCUGUCAAAUCAUUUCAUAUCAAAAGAAUAUCGUCCACAUAAAUCAAAAGGGCAGUAAAUGAUGAGUAGUCCGUCUUGGACUGUUGAAAUCUUGCAGAUUUAAUGACAUGAGAAAAUGUUGAAAACCAUGUCUGGGAUGUCUGUUUGAGACCAUAAAGGGAUUUGUUGAGUCGACAUACAAUGUUCUCCCCUGUGGAUGAUGCCCGGGUGCCAAGUCCAUGUAAAUAAUUCAUGCAAUUUGCCAUGUAAGAAGGCAUUUUGCACAUAUAGCUGGUGAAUAAACCAAUUUCUGGCUACUGCAAUGGUGAGGAGACACCUCAAAGUUGUUAAUUUCGCUGUUGGUGAAAAAGUUUCACAAUAGUCGACACCUUCAAUCUGAAUGUACCAAGGCACGCCUUAUAUCUGUCGACACUGCCAUCUGAUUUGUACCUUAUUUUAUAGACCCAUUUGCAUCCGAUGGGUUUCUGUCAGACAAGUAACAGUGUCAAGGUCCACGUUUGAUUUAGCUGCAAGGCAAAAAACUCUUUGUCCAUUGCUUUUUGCCAAUCUGGAUCAAGAAUAGCUUGAGCAUAAGUGUAAGGUUCUUUGGUGGUUGUGAUGUUAGCAAGAUAUGCACUAUGUGUAGAAGAAAAUCAUGAAUUAGAAAGAAAAUGAUGCAUAGGAUACCUAGUUCCAUUCGGCCGGUCUUGGGCAGUGGUCGAAUGAUUGGCUUAGGAUCCCGUUAUGUAGUUUUGAAGCCAGGAAGGUGGGGUUAGAGCCUGUGGACUGGGCAGAUUAACAUUUGGAAUAAAUGAUGAUGAAUGAUGAAGUAGCAAAUAACAUUUGGAAUAAAUUAUUGAUGUUGAUGCCCAUAUAAAAUUCAUUUAUAUUGAUUCCUUGCAUAUACAAUUAUUAAGAGAGUCUCCUAAAAAUUGAUUCCUUGCAUAUUUAUAAAAACUCCUUGCCAUUACGAUUAGAUGUUGAUAGCAAUUAAUAUUUCAAAUCUAUUCCUAGCUUUCAAAUUAGUUAAGCAUUAUCAUUUGGGUCAGAAACCUAGAAAUACUUUCCAGUCAAAUCUAAGGAUCUUGAUCAUGGUAAACAAGCAUUACAAAUAAAAUGACAAUACUAAUCAUCAAUCAACAACAAAAUAUUAUAUUUAAAUAUCACCUCAAUUCAUAAGAGUUUGAACAGAUUACUCCCAAUUUCAUAGGGUAGAAUUAGACACUCAUGUUGGCCAUUACAAGCAUGGAAAGCAGGAAAAGAAGAUCCAAGAUGUUUCUCCUUGACAGAUGCCUCCUCUGGGGUUUUUUAUCGCCUCCUAUUCUCCCAAUUGAUGUCUAGGAUUGUGCUUCAUGUCUCAUAUUUAACCUAGUUGGGCUUGGGUUAAGUGACUUCUCGCCUGGACAAGUUUGACGAAAACAAGCCCAACGUCUCUGGAGUAAUCUUGCUUGGGCAAGAUUGGGCUCGCUUGGGUGAAAUCCUCUAGGAGAUUCUGGCUUGGGCGAGUGCUUGAGCUUUCCAACUUUCCUUUUAUAUCUUUGUCUAUUCUCCUUUUUCCAUUUCAUCUCCAUUCUUCCCUAGAAUCCUGAAAUGAACACAAAUUUGGGAAUAAACUCUUCUUAUUCAACUUAUAAUCACAAAAUAUGUAAAAAGGUUUAAAUUCAUAAACUAUGGGUAAUAUUACAGUUAUUUUAUCAAUUAAUAUCCAUAGGUGUCUGUAUUUUAGUAUGAAAUAUUACUGAAAUAUGACACUUAUCACUACCCUUGAGACCUUAUACAGUAUUGUAUACAAUGUUGAUGUCAUGAUUCCAAUUGAAGUAUAACUACUGCAAGUCUCAUCGCCAACCUACACCUACCCAGUGAGGUAUGAGUAAAAGCUUAAAUCAUAGACGAGGUCUGCAAAAUUAGAGCAUCCAAAAGAUAAAACUCCAAGGUGAAAUUGAGAACUUUCGACCAAAGAGAUCUUGUGUAGAGAAUGCAAAGUGAAGAAAAGAAAACCAAGGAAAAAUUCUCAACCAACUGGGAGGGACCAUUUCAGAUUCAAAGUGAAGCCAAAAUGGGAUCCUACCAACACCAACACCUAUCAAGAAAACAAUACAAAAGACCUGGCACACAAACCAUUUAAAAUUUUAUUUUAGUUAGCUUUGUAACAAAAUGAUGUAAGUAUCAAUAUGUACUCUUUCCUCAUUCAACCUUUUGUUCCUUGGAAGUGUUUUAGCCGAAAAGGUUUUAAUGAGGCACUUAAUAAAAUUACCAUUUUCUAAUCAAAUUUAUUUUGGCCAAAGACGUUCCAAAGUUGUUCAUGCCGACAACUAAGUGUUGAACCAAGUGUGUUCAAGCUUUGAAGAAUCCAAACCAUUUGAAGGUUGAUGAAAGGUUGGAUGUGCUUGUUGUUGCUAAGUUGUCUUUUAGAUCGGAUCUGAGGUAGAUUUCAUGUAUAAGCAUUCUCAAUCCUUUUAAAAGAAAAGUGUUUUUCAAACUAAGUGAAAAACAACUGUUGUUUUGUCGAUACAACCGAUUAUUUUAUACUUAGGUGUUUUUAGAAAGUUUAAAAAUUGUUUUCAAUGGUUGACUUGCUGUCAAACCAAAACAACCGAUUGAUUCAUGGAAACAACCGAUUGUUUGUUUUGGGACCAUAACAGAAAACUGUUUUGUGCUUUGACUGAGCAUUAAAUGAUUUUAUAACUAUUUACGCUCCAGUUUUUAAUGAUUUGACCAAUCUUUAAAUGCAAUGAAUAGUUUGUUAAGAUUUGAUAACAAACAACAACUUUGAUUAUAUACAGAAAAACAGAUUUGAGUUUUUCAAGAGAUUGAGAUUUUGAAAAGUUGAGAAUUGCUUAGAGAUUGCAUUGAUCAAAGAGUGUGAGAUAGGAUUUUCAUUUUGUAUUGAUUUCAGAUUUGUUCUGUAACAAGUGUAAUCCUUUGUAUCUGUUGAAAGAAACUCUGUGUAUUGCUGAGAAGUGUUGUGUGUUCUUGAGGGGAUCAAGAUCAACAUUCUUAGUGUUGUUGUGUUGGACCAAAGGGAGUGUGUGUCUUGAGGGGAUCAAGGUCACUUCUUUGGUUGUGUUGUAAGUAAUCUAGGGUUGAUUGCUUAGUGGAUUCCCCAGUGGUUUCUGGGAAGACUAGAUGUAGCUCUGGGUUUAGAGUGAACCAGUAUAAACCUUUGUGUGCAUUCUCUCUAUCCUUAAUCUCUUUAAAUUCAGUUUUAAUAUUUGUGAACUGGUAUAAACAACCGAUUGUUUCUGCGAAACAACCAAUUGUUUUUCUGGUGUUGUGCUUAUUUGCUUUGUGUUUUAGCAAACUAAAUUCUGAUUCAAGUGUUUCUCGAAGUAAUUUCAUUCUUGACUUAAAAGUUUGUGAAAACCCUCUUUAUACCAUUCACCCCCUCUAGUUUAAAGUCAUUCUUUCUAAUACUAAGUUGGCCAUGGUCAAAACACAUUGAUCCCUCCCGAAUAAGCUAUCGACCAAAGAAUAUUCACAAUCGAGGGAUCCCUUCUCAUUUACCUAAACUGAGAGGUAAAAAAAACAAAGCACCAAGUAGCAAAUAAGAACAAAUAACAUAGGCAAAAUUUUGGGGAAAUGAAACUUCAUUUAUUAAUUAAAAUACAAGCCAUAUGUCUUGGUUGUCACUUACAAAAAAUCAAGUAUAGAAUAUAAAACUUGCCCUCCUCAAUAGCAAUUCUGUAAAAAAAAGGUUGUUUGCAAAAUAGCUUGGCUAAAGCCUUCACCACGAGCUCCAAGAACAUACUUCUGGAAUUUCCGAAGCUUGACCUCGACAUUCUAUUUCCCUGAAACAACUUCCUCAUGAGCCAGAGUCAUUUCAAUCAAACUCAACUCGAGCUUUUUCAUUUUGGCAUCCAUUUUGUUUUCACUUUGCUCCAAGGAAGUACACUUUUGUUCCAAGAACAUACACUGAGCCCUCCACGACCUCACCUUCUUGACAUUAGCUUCCUGGUCAACUUCAACAAUUUGAGCCUCUCUUCCAAGUUGGAGUUAGCUUCCAAAGUUUCCUUCAACAAGUUAGUUGACUCAAGGUGCUCGCACUUUAGUUUUUCAACCUUAGCGAAAGAUAUUUUGGAUGCCUCAACACCAAUAACCUUUGUUAGCACUAAAGUCCAACUUUGCAUCUCCAAGUAAACCUAGACCAACUCAUUCAACAAGGUCAAGGCAACGACCUCCUUCUCGAAAGAAGUUACAUAAUUAAGGCCCUUUGUAAACUUUAAGUUCCUCCUGAGCAAAGGAGGGAUAGUCUUGGUCUCGAUAUCAAAAAAUAACAACCGAGAUUGUGUAGGAGAUCUCCUCGACAACUUGGAAGGCUUCUCAAUUUAGAAACUAGUUUAUAAUUGUUUUUAUUAAUAAUAAAAACUACUUUAGAUACCAAUAAUUUAUAUAUAUAAAAUAGUAUUUAAUUUAGUCAAUAUAGUAAUUAAUUUUUUUUGUCUCUAAAAUUAAUUUUUGUUUAAUGAUUUUCUUGUAGUUAUAUUAAUCAAUAACACAAUUUGUAUAAGAUGAUACAAUUUUAUUAUUAAUAUGGUGAUAACAUACCUAAAAAUGAAAAAACAAAUCAUGGCAAAAAUGUGAUAAAAAAUUAAUAUGAUAAAAUAUUUAAAAAUUGAUAACUUAAGGAAAAAUUGAAUUUAUCUCGUUUGAAGAUAUGUUAAAUUACUAUGGAUGGCAAUGCAGGUUGUCCCACCUUGCGUAAAAUAUGCGAACUGAUUUUAUUGGCUAGCUCCGAUAAUGGUUGGUCGGUGAGCCUGAAGACUAGCCUGCAUAAAAAAUACUUUUUUCAAAAGGUAAUGAAAAAUAAUUUUUUAAAUAUAAAUUUUGAAUAAGUUUAAUUUAUUUUAUUUAGAUGAAUUAGGUAAAUGGUCUUACAAUAUUAUUCUCAUGAGAUAUGAGUAAAAAUUUGUGUUUCAGAUUAUACAAUAUUCUAGAUUACACAAUCCAAAAUACAAAUUUGUAUUCUAGAUUGUAGAAUUUGUAAUGGAUAAUUUUAGAAUUUUUUAAAAUAUAAAAUAAUAAAAUUCCUAAAUAAUAUUAAUAAUAAUAUUAAAAUGAAAAAAAGUGUAAUCAAAUAAAAUCUUUACACUUUCAUUUUCUACAACGAAAAUAAGGUGGAGUUAGGACACUUUGUUACUAGCUACUGUUACAAGAACUCGAGGUCUUUGAAAAUUUCAUUGUUAAGUCUAUCUUAAAAUUAAAUUCGUUUGAUAAUAUAUUUUUUUUUCAUAUUCUGAAAGCAGCAAUUUUUUUCUUUGUUUGUUUGACGGAAUAAAAUUUGUUAUUUUAUAUAGAAAUUCUGAAAUGUACUUUCUAACCUUUUAAAUCCAAAUAUAGCCUCAAAGGGUGCAUAUAUGAGUAGAAAGAAGAGAGAAAUAAAGUAAAAAAAAAAGGAAAAAUAUCAAUAUAUACUAUAAUAGAUGAGAUAUUGAAAAAACAAAUAUGUGUAAUUUAUUUAAAUUUUUAAAAUAAUUUAUAUUCGUUACAAUACAUUUUUUAUUUUUUUAAUCGUUUUGUGAUCAAAUAUAUGGUUUGAAAACUCUUAUGUAAUAAGACACCACUGUAACACUCAAUAAUUUACAUAUAACUAUUACAAUAAAAGUUAUACCCGUUUCUAUACAAACUUGGAGUUUUUCAAAACAUUCCUAAUACAUGAUUAGGAUUUAUAGAAAUACAAAUAUUUACAUAUCCAUAGCUCAAAAUAAAACUCUGAAACCUCUAAGGCUCUCCUGCACCUGUAUGGUCAUCUGCUCGUGUACAUAGUACAAUCAUCGCAGUUAAAACACAACACGAAAAGUAAGGGUAAGCUAGUGUAAAGAAAAUCGAUAACAUAAUUCAUGGAAAUAUAACCAAUUUAGACUAAUAAUUUAUAAACAUUUCUUUAAAUGAUUUCAUGUAAAACUUCAAUACAAAUUUCAUCAUUCGUAUAGACCACACAUGGAUCUAUUUUCAAUCAUAAUCACUGGAUUUCAUUUCAAUCCCACUUCGUCUUCCGAAGACUCAUUAAGUAUGCCCCUACCAGAUACUAACACCUGAUCCAAAGAUUACCAGCGAAUCCAAUAAAGGAUCAGGGUAAGUUCAAACAUCCAAUACCGAGUGUCUACAAUGGGACCCGGUGUGUAUGAACUCCCUUUCAGCUUCUCACCACCUGAUAUCUUAGUCUACAUGACUUAGAUCAUCAUUGAAGUCAUAGGAUCUCCGUUAAACAUAGGAUUUUCAUACUUAAUGUACCAUCAAAUAACAACUCAUACAUUAUUCCUAAUGUAUGACAUCAAUUUCAUACAAUUUUCAUCAUUCAUAUAUAAUACACAUCAUUCAAUCAUAACAUUUUAAAAAUUUAUACCAUUCAAGAACUUUUCCAACAUCAAAACAAUAUUUAACUUUCAAACUAUCAAAAUAUAAUAUUUAUAAAGUUUAAAUAAUAUAUAAACAAACACACAAUAUAUAAACAAUUGUUUCCCUUACCUCAAUUGUUAGCCUAAGGUACUAUUAAAUUUAGCUUCCCUUACCUCAAUUACUUGCUUUCCAAACAACUUCUAGAAUUUUAUUUCCCACCGUCUGGAUAAGCUUCAAGAUUUACGGGCCUAAAGCAAGUUAUCCAAACAGAACAAAAAUGCAGUAUAUAGUAGAAUAAGUUGAGAGGAUUAAACUUCUCAACUGACCCCACCAAGAUUGAUGACUAAAUCCUAAGGAAAAAUAGAGAACAAAGAAACUUUAGAGCAAAAAUAAACUUACUCUGUUUAAAAAUUUGAUGGGGUAGAAAUGUUCCUUAACUCGCCAGCUACAACAUGGUCCAAUCAGAUUCUAAAAUAGAUGAGGUAUGGAGUGAGAUAUUAAGAGAGAAUAUAGAAGAGAGAGAUGGAGAGAGAAAGAAAUGGAAGAAAAAGAAUGGUGUCGUGACAGGGGCACAUGUUCUGUUUUGUUUUUUUAAAAACAAGCACGGUUACAACCACGGAAUAGAUAUUUAAUAAAAUUAUUUAGCCAAAAUACAUUAUUAAUCCCCUUUAACUCUAAUUCUUUGUUUACAUGACCAAUUAAUUAGUUUUAUAAUUUCUAAUUAUAUUCUCAACCUUUUAAAUUUUUUAAGAAAUUACAUAUAUUUUUCUCUAAAGACUAUCAUCUAAUCUUAUAGGACUACGACAACCUGUUUUUAUUUUAGUAAAAACAUGUUCAAAAGAAGAAUAUGUAAAUCUAGAUGUUCCACUAAAAAUUAUAUGUUUUGCUUCCAAUUUACUAUUCAAUAUGUUAAUUUUAUUUAUUUUUAAAUUAUGUUAAGGUAUAAUUGAAAAAGAACUUCGUUAAGACACACCGUGUGUCGAAUGCAUUGAGCUAGGCCGGACACAGCCUAGAUUAUGGACACGCGGUGGAUACUUUUAAAUGCGCGGAAAAUGCAAAGGAGAACGGAGAAGAUGAAGAAGUGACGAAGAAGACUGUGAAGUUCUUAUGAAAGAAAGAAGAAGAUGAAGAGUUAGGAAUUUUUUUUUAAAAGGGAAAGUGGGAUUCAUUAAUUUAUUACUGGCAUGACAUACAUGACAUGUGUUUGCUGCUUUUCCUUUAUUUAUUUCAAUAGUGACAUUCACACGGUGCUGGCUUUGGACUUGCCAUUAAAUUACAUUUUAUAAUUUAAAUUAAUUUUUAAACAGUAAUAUUUUAUUAAAUAUUAAUAUUAUAAGAUUCAAUUUUAACUUUAAAAAAAAAUAUUUUAAAUCACAAUAUUUUAUAUUUAAUUAUAAUACUUUAAAUAACUUUAAAUAAAUAUAACUAGUUAUUAAUUACUACUUAUUAUAAAUAUUUAUAUGAUAAUAUAAAUAUAAUCAAAUAAUUAUUUUUAGGAUUAUACUUAAUCAUAAAUAUUUUUUAUGAUUAUAUAAAUAUAAACACUUAAAAAUAAAUAUUUGUAUGAUUAUGUAAAUAUAAUCAAUUAAUGAUAAAUAUUUUGAUAGUUAUUAUGAUAAAUAUUUUUAUGAUUAUGUAAAUAUAAUUACUUAAUUAAUUAAUGAUAAAUAUUUAUGUUUAUUUAAAUAUAAUGACUUAAUUAUUAUGAUUAUGUAAAUAUAACCCCUUAAUGAUAAGUAUUUAUGGUUAUGUAGAUAUAACCACUUCAUGAUAAUUAUUUAUGGUUUUUUUUAUCGACAAUAAUAAAUUAAUAAAUGCGAGCCACUUCAGGGGUGGUUAAACCCUUAUACAAAGGAAACAAGAGAUACCAAACCAACUACUAGCUAAAAUUCGCAAACUAACAAACACAAUCACUAACCGGACAUAGACUUAAACUACAUCAAACAACCAUUCUCAUACACUCCAAAGGUACCAUACACCAACUAGAAAAAGGGAAACGAAGCGAAUCGAGAUCUAGUAUUAAUCCAAGACCAAACCUUUGUUUGCACCCGUGCACACAGUUCAGACGCAUCAGCCACUCCCCUGUUGAAGAUAAUAAAAUUCCUGUGGAUCCAAAUUUCACCCACCACCCCAACCCAAAUUGUGCGCCACACUUCAUUAACCGACUUUGAAGACUGACACAUCCUAAACUGUGCAAAGUUUAACACCGGAUCAAUAUGGGACACAAACGCCACCCCCAACCACUCUAGGCAAAGGCACCAAACCCACCAAGCAAAUCUGCAAUCGAAAAACAAAUGGCGGUAAGACUCUUCCUCCUUCCCACACAAACAACACAAAGGGCUACCAACCAACACACCUCGCCUUUCCAAAUUGGCCCUAGUAGCGAUCUUAUUCUCCAACACCCUCCAGGCAGUGACUAAAGCAGAAGGUACUACUUUACAGCUCCAUAGCUUACUGUAUGUCGAGGAGAAAACAACCUCACCAUCCCUCCUAAGAAGAGAAUAAGCAGAACUAACUGAAAACGUCUGAAGACCCCCUGCCUUCCAAACCCACCUAUCCGCUUCUCCCAUGACCAACCUAACCUCAAGUAAAGCCUGAUAUAACUGAUCCACCAAAGGUUUCUCUCAUUCAAACAAAGAUCUACGCCAUGCUAAAUGCCAAACCCACACGCCAUCAGACCAGGACACAAUCUCAGCUACCUUUGCAUCUUUGAUCGGACACAGGGAGAACAGUCUUGGAAAUACUCUCUUCAGCGUAUCUUGACCUAGCCAGCAGUCCUCUCAGAAAAGAACAUCAUUUCCAUCACCAACUUUCCAACUAAUCCCUUCUUCAAAACUACUACCCCACCCCUCCAAAACCCACACCUUUUUUAAGUCUUUCCACCAAAGAGAGCACCUACUACUUUUCUCUUCCUCUCUCAAACUUCUCCAACCACCAUAUUUGGAGACAAGAAUCUCUUUCCAAAGACCAUCCUUAUCCGAACCCAACCUCCAUAUCCACUUGCCUAACAAAGCCACAUUAAAAGUCUUCAGAUCAAUGAUACCAAGGCCCCCAAGUUCCCGAGGUUUACAAACCUUCUCCCAGGAGGUCCAAGCGAUCUUCCUUCCUUCAGAUCCCCAACCCCAAAGAAAAUCCCUUUGAAUCCUGACCAACUUGUCUGCCACCCCGGAAGGCAAUUUAAACAGUGACAUAAAGAAUAACGAGAUGGAAGAAAGAACGGACUUGAUCAAACACACUCUCCCUGCGAACGACAAGCACUUACCUUUCCACCUGCUAAGCCUAGUCUUAACCUUCUCAAUCACCCCAUUCCAAAAGUCACUACGCUUAUGACUCCCACCAACAGGCAAACCCAAGUAAACAAAAGGAGAACCCAUUACAUCACGCUUAAGGAUAUUUGCAAAACUCCGAAGCGAACCAUGACUCAACCCCAUUCCGCCAAUCCUACUUUUCACAAAAUUAACCCUAAGCCUAGAGGCAAGUUCAAAGCAUUGCAAAAUCGCCUUAAUAUUGAAAAUGCUUUUGGUGUUAGCUUCACAGAAAAACAAGGUAUCGUCAACAUACUGUAACAUAUUAACCUUCACUCUAUCCCUGCCAACCUCCAAACUAUCAAUCAAAUUCUUUUCUUCAGCCAUCCUUGAUACCUUGGCCAACCCUUCUGCCACAAGAAGAAAGAGAAACGGAGCUAGUGGAUCACCUUGACGGAGACCCUUCAUUGGAAAAAACUCCUUAGUUGGGCACCCAUUCACAAGGACUGAAACAGACGCAGAUUCUAAACAACCCUUAAUCCAACGAAUCCACAGAUCACAAAAACCCAACCUCCAAAGCAUAUAAUAAAGAAACUCUUAACUGACCGAGUCAUACGCUCAUAGUCAACCUUAAAAACAACACAACUCUUUCUCUUUCUUUUAUACUCCUCCAAAACCUCAUUAGCUACAAGCACGUUGUCCAGCAAACCCCUUCCUUCAAGGAAAGUCGAUUGUCUAACAUCUAUAACCUUACCAAUCACCUUUUUCAAGCGUAGGGAAAGUGCUUUAGAAAUGGUUUUGUACAUGCAACCCACUAAAGAAAUAGGUCUAAACUCACCGAGCUGCUGAGGAUUUUCAACUUUUGGUAUGAAGCAGAGAAACAAAGCGUUUGUACCUCUAGGCCAAUGACCGUUAACCGCAAAAUCCUUCACUGCCGCCAUCACGUCUUUUUUUAUAAUAUCCCAGCCAAAUUUUAAGAAACCAAAAUUGAAGCCAACAGGACCAGGACUCUUGGAGUUGUCACAACUCCAGACCGCGUCCCUAAUCUCCUCUUCAGAAAAGUCACCAAUCAGCAAAUCAUUGUCAGAGUCCGAAAUGGAACGGAACCUAACAUUAUCCAAACACACCUGACAAGCAUCAUUCUUAGCAAACCUGACAUCAAAGAACUCUUGGACCUUGUCCUUGAUCACACUCUUAUCAUCGCACCAUUUGUCGUUAACAUAAAUUCCAUGUACCUGAUUCCUUGCUCUUCUCCAUUUAACUGACAAGUGAAAAAAACUUUGUGUUAAUAUCUCCCUGUUUUAACCAAUUUUGCCUUGCUUUCUGAAACAUAACCGCUUCCUGCUUAAACUUACCCUCAAUAAGAUCAGCAAGGAGAACCUUUCUUUCUUCCCUUUCUGACUCAACUAACCCACGAUCAUCAUCCCGUGCGUCUAAAACAUCAAUCCUCUUUUGCACUUCCUUGCUAGCAAGAUUUACGUCUCCGAAGACUUCUUUAUUCCAUACUUUAGAUCUACUUUUAGCUUUUUCAAUUUUUCUUUGAAAAUAAAUAACCCACUUCCAACGACCUCAUACGAAGACCAACAUGAACUCACAAACUCCUUGAACCUACUGUCUCUUUGCCAUACGUCCAAACACCUAAAAGGUUUCAGACCCCAACCCACAGACACCUCUCUAAGUAUAACUGCACCGUGAUCGGAGAUUAAUAUGCUUAACACGAGUUGCUGGCAAUUUGGCCAAUAUUCCAACCAUUCCUUUGAGACCAACACCUUGUCAAUUUUGCUCUUUACCAAACCGUUGGGCUUAUACCAAAUAAACUUUCUGCCAACCAACGGGAUAUCAACCAACUCCGAAUUUUCGAUAAAGUCAUUGAAGCCUUUUAUUAUUAUUUAUGAUUAUGUAAAUAUAACCACUUAAUGAUAAAUAUUUAUGCUUAUUUAAAUAUAAUCACAUAAUUAUGAUUAUGUAAAUAUAACCACUUAAUGAUAAAUAUUUAUGGUUAUUUAAAUAUAACCACUUAAUGAUAAAUAUUUAUGGUUAUAAAAAUAUAAUCACUUAAUGAUAAAUAUUUAUGGUUAUGUAGAUAUAACCACUUAAUGAUAAAUACAAGUCUAUAAAUACAAUAAUGAAGGAGUAUUUCUCACUUACUUAAUACUCAAUACAUUUAGUUAUUAAUCAUAUAUCUUACUUACACUCUUUCUCUUGAGCAUCGGAGAGGUAGACUUCCACUAGAUUUUCAUCGCUAAAGCUCAACAAGACAAUUAGUCUCAAGACAGAGAUUGGUCUAUCUGAUCACCUCAGAUUCACCACCUUGGACGACUCAAUCUCUAACUCGGUUAGAAUGUUUAUUUUAAAAAAUCUAGUAUAUUAUACUACUAUUAAUUUUUAAUUUACUACAUGUUUUGUUUUUUAUUCAUGAAUUAUAUCUAUUAGAUGAAUUUAUUUGAUUUUUAUAUUUAAGUAAAUUUAUUAUAUUUAAUUUAUUUUUGUUAGGAAAUUAAGAGGAAUAUACCUAAUCAAGCUAUCGAACAAGAAGAUGAAACAAAACCUUUGUGCAAAUAUGUUUCAAAGCUAAGAAAAACAACUGGUGGCGAAAAUAAUAUGAUCCAAUGUAGUUUGUGUAAUUUUAUAUUCAAUUUAUUAAAACUUACGGGAGCAGGAGUUAGAAGUUAUCCGUAUGUGACUGCGUCAAAACUUGUUGAGUUAAGAAAAUUAGACAAUGAAGCAAAAUUGAAAAUAGAGGGUUUGAAACAAAAAAAAAGGUCUCUCUACCACCUGUAUCUGAUGAAGGAAAUCAGACUAGGAGUGAUGUUAACCCAAAAUUCAAAGGUUCUUUACAAGUUGCUUUCAAUAUUCAAGCGAGAGAUACUCUUGAUUGUGAAAUUGCAAGAAUGUUUUAUUCUUCAGGACUACCGUUUCAUUUAGCAAGAAGUCCUUAUUAUAGAAGUGCAUUUUCUAAUGCAGCCAAUACUUCUAAUCUUAGUGGAUAUGUACCGCCAACAUAUAAUAAAUUGAGAGGUCCUUUACUUUCAAAGGAAAGAAGUCAUGUAGAAAAUCUUUUGCAACCUAUACAAAACUCGUGGAAUCAGAAAGAUGUAACAAUUGUUAGUGAUGGGUGGAGUGAUCCUCAAAGAAGACCAUUCAUAAAUUUCAUGGCUAUCACUGAGAGUGGACCAAUGUUUUUAAAGUCAAUAGAUUGGUCUGGUGAGAUAAAGGACAAAGAAUUUAUCGCUAAACACAUGAGAGAUGUAAUUAUGGAGGUUGGACACAACAAUGUGGUACAAAUAAUAAUUGAUAAUGCAGUUGUAUGUAAGGCAGCGGAUAUGCUCAUAGAAUCUGAAUUUUCUUCAAUCUAUUGGACUCCUUGUGUAGUGCACACCUUGAAUCUUGCAUUUAAAAGUAUUUGUGCAGAAAAAAUACUGAUAAAAAUAGUGAUAUUUAUCAUCAAUGUUCUUGGAUCUCACAAAUUGUUGAUGAUGUUACCUUUGUUAAAAACUUUAUUAUGGGACACUCUAUGAGAUUAUCAAUGUUCAAUAAUUUUAACUCAUUGAAGUUGCUCUCUGUUGCUCCAACAAGAUUUGCUUCAACCAUAGUCAUGUUAAAAAGGUUUAGAAGUUUGAAAAAAGGACUCUAAGAGAUGGUUAUUAGUGAUGAAUGGUCUUUUUACAAAAAGGAUAAUGUGGAUAGUGCACAAUUUGUGAAAGAAACUUUGUUGACUGAUAAUUGGUGGAUGAAGGUUGAUUAUAUACUUGCUUUUACUGCCCCUAUUUAUGAUGUUCUUAGAAAAACAGAUACGGAUAUGGCAUCUCUUCACUUGGUAUAUGGAAUAUGGGAUUCAAUGAUUGAAAAUGUGAAAAGAGUCAUAGACCAACAUGAAAGGAAGACAGAAGUUGAAUAUUCAUCAUUUUUCAAGGUAGUGGAGUUAAUAUUAAUUGAUCGUUGGACUAAAAGUAGCACACCUCUUCAUUGUCUAGCUCAUUCUUUAAAUCCAAGGUAAUACAUUAUAUAGUUAAAUUAUUUUAUAAUUAUAUUUUGUUGUGUACAUAUUAUUUAUAAUAUCAUAAAUUUAUAAUAUUAUAUUGAUUUAUGUUUAUAUAUUUUUAAUUUUGUACAUAUUAUAGUCGUGAAUGGUUAGAUGAAGAUUCAAAAAGACUUGCCCCACAUCAAGAUCACGAAAUUACUCAGGAAAGAAAAAAAUGUUUUAUGAGAUACUUUGAUGAUGCAGACAUAAGGACACAGGUAAAUAUAGAGUUUGCAAACUUUUCAGGUGGAAGAGAAGAUUUUGAUGAUGCUGACUCUUUAAGGGAUAGAAGUAAAAUGGAUGCAAAAUCAUGGUGGAUUGUUCGUGGAACUCAUGCACCAACACUUCAGAAGAUAGCUCUUAAGCUACUUGGACAACCAUGUUCUUCUUCUUGUUGUGAAAGAAAUUGGAGUACAUACUCUUUCAUACAUUCUCUAAAAAGAAAUAAGAUGACACCUAAAAGGGUAGAGGAUCUAGUAUUUAUCCAUAGUAAUCUUCGCCUUCUAUCAAGAAAUUCCUCAAAAUACAAAGAAGAGGAAACUAAAUUGUGGGAUAUUGCAGGAGAUGAUUUUUCAUUGGAUGAAAAUGGAAUUCUUGAGAUUGCUAAUUUAUCUCUUGAUGGACCAUAAUUAGAAGUUGUAUUUUUCAAUGAGGAUGAACAAAUGUAAAAUUCAAACAUUAUAAUUUAAAUAUGUUUAUCUUUUGUUAGAGUUUUUUAUAAAUAUUUUUUUUUAAUUUUUUCAGAUUAGGAAGUAUAUUAAUAUUAUAUAUAUAUAUAUAUAUAUAUAAAUAUAUAUAUAUAUGUGUGUGUGUGUCGUGUCCCAUAUCCUAUAUUUUUCAAUUUAGUCAUAUCUCUGUAUCCGUAUCGGUGUCGUGUCCGUGUCUAUGUUUCAUAGAUUAUGGGUAUUGCGUCAUUUCCUAUUUUUUCUAAAACAUAUUAAAACAGUUAUUAGAAGCAGUUUUGAAUCUAGAGCAAUUUUUUUAAUUUAAUUUUUUGAAAUAUAUUUCAAUUUUUGAAAUUUUUGCUUUUUUUCUAUUUGGAUUUUGAAUUUUUGGGAUUUUAUCACCGUUUUUCUCUCUUCGCUUUUUCUUACUUUAUCUCUCUUCUUUCACAAACAAUAAUAUGCUCUCAUGCUCUUUGUGUCUUCAAUGCAUAUUCAAAUACACAUAAAUAUAUAUUUUAUUUAAAUAAAUAUAAAUACACAUAAAAAUAGUAAAAAUAAAAAUAACAAAUACGAGUAUACAAGUGCGGGAGCAUCUGUGUUCCCACUAUUAUUAAUAAUAUCGAUAAUAUUUAAUAAUAUUUAAUAAUAUUAAAAAUAUUUAAUAAUAUCAAUAUUAUUUAAUAAUAUCAAUAAUAUUUAAUAAUAUCAAAAAUAUUUAAUAAUAUUAAUAUUAUUUAAUAACAUUAUUAAUAUUAAUAACUUUUAAUAAUAUUAAUAACAUUAUUAUAAUAAUUAAUAAUGUUAUUAUUUAAAUAAUAAUAAUAUUAAUGAAAUUAAUAAUAUAAAUUGUAUUAAAUAUAUAAAUAAUAUUAAAAAUAUUUAUAUUAUUAAUUACAUUAUUAUUUAUAAUCAUACUAAUAAGUAUAAUAAUAAUUAUAAUAUGACAACAAAACUUGACUGGUAAUAAUUAAAGUUUCUUUGGUCAUUUGGAACUUGCCUUUAAGUCUCACAUGUUGAUAUUUAGUUUUAACUUUAAUAAUAAGAAGAAUUUAAAUAAUAAUUAAAAAUUUAGAAUUAUGUUGAAUUAUUUAUGAAAUUCUUUCAUAAAUAAAUUGAUUUUAUUUUAUAAUUAUUUUUAAUUACAUUUUUUAUUUUAUAAUUUAUUUCAAGAUAAAAAUUACCCAAAAUAAUAAUAAUAAAUAUUAUUUUGUGCAUUAUUUUCAACCUUGGGACAACUUCUGGGUGUCCUUUAAAUUCUGGGUGUUUCUUCAAACACUACAUGAAAUUCUUGGACAUUUAUUUAUUUAUUUUGGAAUGAGUUUUCAAGAAUAUUUUUUUAUAUUUCGAAAAAUUAAUUCCGUAACAAGAAGAGAUGUUUAUGAAAGUGAAAAAAAAAAACUGAAAUUUCUAAUGGCGGGUCUCGCAAACAAGGACUAUUUUUCUUUUAUUUUUUUGGGUCUAUUUAAGUGUAAUGAAAGAAAAAAACCUAAAAUUCCAGUGCUGAAGGAUUGGACCCAAACUUUGGGACCGUAUUGCCAAAGUUAACAGACUGGUCCAAUUAUAUUUAUACCACCUGUUUGACUUUAUAUACCCUCAUUUUCUUUUUUAUAUUUCAAGAUAAUUUAUUCCAUUUCAUCUCCGCACCACUAAUUUUGUUUAGAUUCCAUCAAAAAUAAUUUUCAUUAUAUAGUCUAAUAUAUUACAAAAAUUAAUUUCAGAAAUUUUUUUUCUUGCAUAAGAAAUUCAGUUUCCAUAAUAUAUUACUGAAAUUAGUUUCUGAAAAAAGUUAAUACAAAAAUAAUAAAUAAAGAUAAAUAUUAAGAAGAACAAAAAGGGUGCAAGCACCCUCUCCUUGGAUCCUCUCAUAAUAAGCAUGUCAAUGAUAUUUUGUUAGGAAAAAGUUAGAAUCCAUUCUAAUGGUUACUGAGUAUUUUUUUUUCCUACACUCUCAUGAUUACUAGAAGAGGUUGUAUUAUGAUGGAAGUUCUUUUGAUACUCAACAUUGACUUUUAAAUUAUUCGAUUCAAAAAUACAUUCAAAUGGUAUAAAUCAUAAGUUCUUUUGUGUGAAAAAAAAUGGCUUCUAAAUUAUGUAAUGUGAAAGAUACUUUUGAAUUACCAAUUUGGAUGUUUUUUUAAAGAAAAAUUACUUUAAAAUAAUGAAUUUCAAAAGUUUUUUUCAUGCAAAAAAAAAUAACUUAUAAAUUAAUAAUUUGAAAAUAAAAAAUAACUUUUAAAUUAUAUAAUAUGAAAUCUAAAUAAACUUUUUUUAUUACACCAUCCAAAAGUAAAAAAAAACUUUUACAUUACACAAUUUGAAAGUACAAAAUUACUUGUAGAUUACACAAUUCAAAAGUUAUUUUUUCAUAAAUUAGAAAUGUACAAUGAAUAUUUUUAUAUUUAUAAGAAUAUAGAACGAAAAUACGGGUAUGAAAGAAAUCCUUGUUACUUAAAAUACAUAAAUUGAAAUGGACAAAAAUAGAAAAUGAAAGCCCAAAUGGAGUUAUUUCUUUUGAACUAGAAAGAAAAAAGAAAAAAUGUUAAUUAAAAUUAUUGGAUAUGAAGUAAUUCUUAUAUUACGUAGAUAAUACAGUUUAUUAAAUAAAUAUGAAAAUUUCAUGACAUUUUUUUUCUUUUAUAAGACUCUCUUUUCUAUUCUAGAAAAAUAGGAAAGAAAAAAAAAUAACAAUAUAUAAAGGUGAAUAUUGAUAUCACACUUUAAUUUUUUUUAAUUUGGUGGAUUCACAGUGGGAAAGUCUAUCUCGCCCUAUUUUUCAUGGGCUAACCAUGGACCUGACUAGCUCGUUUUAGCACCCCUAAUUAAGAUGUCAUUUGUCAACGAGAUCUUACAAUUAAUGAUUUUUAUUAUAGGAUCAUUAAGAUGAUUUUUUUUUGUGGACAAGGUCCUACAAUUGAUGACUUUUAUUAUAGGAUCCUUAAAAUGAUCAUUUUGUUAACGAGAUUUUAUGGUUGAUGAUCUUUAUAUUAAAAUUAUUAAGAUGAUUAUUUUAUCUUAUGGUUGACGACCUUCAUUAUAAAGAUCCUUAUAACAAUUAUGCUUUUUAUAAAAUCUUUUUAUUGAUAACUUUCAUUAUGAGAUUGGUAAACAAUUUCAUAGUUAAAGAAGAUCAAGUUCGUAUAAUCCUUAGUAAAAUCAUAAAAAAAGAAUUUACUUGUUGAAUAUGACAAUCCUUAAGCAUUUACUAUUUUUCAAAAAUACUAGUGAAGAUUCUCACAUCCCAAUGGUGUGCACUUAAACAUCUAGUAGGAGAGGAAGCAAAAGUCAAAUUGACUAACAUAUAUAGUUUAGCAUUUCCUACAAAAUAACAUGUGCACAGAGAUGUGUAAAUAUAUGCUCUUUAAAAUACCGACAUUUUGUGAAGAGCUAAUGAAUAAUUGAAAAUGUGCAAGGUGAAGGGAUAAAAUGAGACCGUGUGAUAGGUUCUUGAGAGAGAAAGUAGAAGUGGAUUGGGUUUCCUUGACCAACCUAAUCUAUUUCACCAUACACAGAUAUUAGUUUUUUCAAUCGAAGGAUGGAUGUCGAAAAAUAUUUCAAUGAACCUCACGGUGAGCGACAUGGUUGUUUUAACAUCUUAUAAAGAUCAUUUUCAUGUCUCGUAGUUCCUUUGUUGCAUGUUGGUGUGGAUGCGUGUGGUGUGGGAUAUGAGAGUGAGAAGAGUUGGGUUAAAUUUUUAUGAGAAGGGUGGACAAUUCUAAAGUGAGGGAUAUGUGUUUCCAAAUGAGAGGGUUUCCAGAGGGGUCAAAGAAAUGAGAUUUGCGAAAAUGCAAUGUUUUAGCGAAAAAAUAUUUUUCGGAAAAAGAGGAAUGUUGUGGAGGGAAUGAGAAAAAAAUUAUUUUUGGGAAAAAGAUAAUGUUGUGGAGGGAAUGAAGAAAAAAAAAAUUAGGAAAAAGAUAAUGUUGUGGAAGGAAUGAGGAAAAUUUUUUUGGAAAAAAUAUGAAUAUUAUUGAGGAAACGAAAAUGUGGAGAGUGUUCUACUUUAUAAAAUGAAAGUUCUAAAUGACAUAUUUUGAAGUAAAAAUGUGUCACAUAUUAAACUGUCAUAUUAUAGGGAUAAUUAUAAUGGUUUUUAAUAAUUGUCGUAUUAAAACUGUCACACGUUACAUGUUUUCUUAAAGUGUAAAUAAUUAGUUUGAAAAUUUAGAGACUACUAAUGCGAAAAAAAUGGUCGAAUAAAGUAGUUACAAGUUUUAGAAGAUUAAAUGCAUAUAGAAUAUUUAUUAAGAGUAUCUAUUAAUACUAUUCACGAAAUUCUUUAUAUUUUGUAAAUGUUAGAGAAAAUUGUUCUAGAAAUCUAAAAUUUAUUUUCAAUGUAUAAAAUACCUUUGAAUAUAGUACACAAAGCAAAGAAAAGAAGAAAAAUAGAAACACCAGUUCAAUUCUCAAUUAUUUUUCUCCGUCUAAAUUUUGUACUAUUAAAUAUUGCACCUUUAAAAUAACACCAAGAUAUAUGAAUUGUACCACCAGAUUUCAUUAAAUAGUUCGAUGUAUGAACAACCAGAUCAUACAUUGGCAAAUAAUCGAUAACUUUUGGCAUCAAGAACUAUCUGUCUAACUGCUGCAACUGCUGCUAUUGCUCCCAAAGCAGAGAAAGCCACAACAAUAGUUACAUUCAACCAGUAAAUAGAGCUUCGCUUAGAUGGCUUGAAUGUGAAAUUGUAGAAAAUCACUGGCAAAAUGAAAUCAAGAGGGAUAAAGCCAAAAGCUCCAAUAAGAGAAUUUAUGUCUCCAAAAAAUGGAAGCAUGGCCGCUAUAAUGGUUGAAAUAGUAAUAGCCAGUGAUCGAGAAAUCACUCUAGGGAUUACAUUGCGUUUGGAAAACUCGGCACUUUUUGGAUCUCCAAAUGUUUGCUCCAACACUUCAUUUGUUGGUUGCAAAUAAACCUGCAUUCAAAUUCAAUGGUUAUUUUUCUUAAGAUCAAAUCCUUUUAAGUUAUUUUAAUAAAAAAAAACUAAUGAUGGUGUUAAAAGUAAUGUUAUUUGUUUCUUAUAAAGAAUCAUAAACAAGAUUAAAUGUGUAGGACAUAUUUAAUGUUAUAGUUUGAACAUGAGGUAAAGUUUAAUUAUGCAUGCUUUAAUAGAUUAAAUUUUCAAAAGUGGCAUAAGUUAUCUCUUAGAAACUUUCUCAGAAGUUAACAAAAAAUGAGCAGUAAUUAGUAUAUGACAUACCACACCAACUGCUGAUAGUUGUGUUAUAGUGAAAAUGUUGGUCAUGUAAAUGAACCAUGUGGGCACCAGAGGGUUGCCAUUGUCCACAAAAUUGCUUAAUAUGAGGCCUUCAGAUUUGUUGCCAAAUGCCCAAUAACCAGAUAUAGAUACACUAAAGAAAGUGACUAUAAGUACAAAAUAGCAAACACAUAGUGCCUUGAACAUCUUCCCUUUUACUGGUGGUGCCAGUGUUGCCUACAACCACACAAGAAAUGCAAUUAAGCACAAUGGGGUUGUUUUUAAUGACAAGGUUAGUUAUUAUGAUGGACCUGAAUUUCUGGAAUGAUUCCAUUUCCAUAGGUUGUAGCAAUGAUGGCAAUUGCAUUGAAGAUUCCAAAUAAGCGAUUCUCAGUGUCACCUUUCAAAGAGUAGUCCUUUUCUGGUCCUUUGGAUGACUCUCCUGUAACAACAUUGUAAAUUCAAAACCAAAAGUUUCAAUUCAAUUGCCAAAACAUAAAGUGAAAAUUUCUAAAUUACCAAAAGAAAUCUUAAGAAAUGAAUUUUAACCCUAACUAAAUUGAUGAGUUUUGCACCUACUUAAAUAUUAUGAAUUGAUAUUAUUUCUAGUCGACUUGGGAUUAUGAUACACACGCGCGCGUAUAUUAUGAAUUUACUUUAUCUCUAGUUGACGUGGAAUCUCCGAUAAGAAAAAUAAACUAGUUUAAGAAAUUACCAAUGUAAGUGGAUCCAACAGUAGCACAAGCACUAUAUGCCAAGCAGAGAAUCAAUGACACUAGAUUAAUGUGCCUCAAUGAGUGGAAAGAUGGAAUCUGAGCCAAAAUUAGCAUGAAGCAUCCAAAUAUGAUUACAAACUCGUAAAGCUUCAUGGUCCCGUUUGGAUUUGACAACAAGUAAAUUGCCUACAUAUAGAAUAUGGAGUCAUCUUUGAUUAAAGAACAAAUGAUUUGAAAAUUACAGAAAAAUGCUUGCACAUAGUUUAUAAUAUAAAAAAAUAUAGUUUUUUAUUUGACAGAUAAAUAAGUGGGAUAAAGAGUUGAUGAUAACCUUCAUACAUUGUCCUCCUAAAAGAGUGCAAGCCACUACAGCACCAAAGCAAACUGUAAACUGAAUUGGGCCAACAAAAUAACGACCCCAUCUUGGACCUGUCAAGGUUAUAUUUACAUUAGUAAAAGAAAGGUGUUUCUUACUGCACCCUAUAAAAUUUCUUCCUGCAUCCCCAUCAAUUUCGAAAAAGACUAUUUGGAUUACUUUUUUGGAAUGUUUCCAAGACAUAUUUUCUUGAGUUCAUGAUUUAUAUUCCUGAAAAAUGUUAUCCAGAACAAAAAAUUUGGAAUAAACUUUCCAGAACGUAUUAUAUACGUUCUAGAAUGUGUUUUCUGGAAUAAUUUUUUGGAAGACAUUAUAUACGUUCCAAAAUAUAUUUUCCAGAAUAAAUUUUCAGGAGUAUGUUCUAGAAACAACUUUCCAUAAUGAUAAUGAAUUGGAUGGGGCAUUUUGGUAAUUUUGACUAAAUGAUGAGGUGUAGGAAGAAAUUUUAGGGUGUAGGGAGAAAUUUGACGGAGUGCAGAAACCAAAGAUAGAUCGAAGAAUUAUAAGAGAAAAAAAAAGUUUAUAAGCGUUCUACGUACUUUUAAAUAUAGUUUCAUAGAAACAAACAUAUUCAUUAACACUUUAUUUAGACAAUUAAAAAACCAAUUUUAAGCACAAACUAAAAUAAUUAUUUGAGAAUGUUUUAAAGAUUUAUUGUUCAAUAAAAGUGUUUUUUUAAUUUUUUUCCUUUAGUAAUUAUAUAUAUAUCCUUCAAUCUAUUAUUUUUACUUUUUAAUAUUUUUAAGUAAAUUAUAAUGAAAAAUAAAAUUGGAUCAUAAUAUAAUUAUUUUUUACAAAAUAUGACUUUUUUUAAAAUUAAAGUUGUGUAAUUUAUGCACAACGUCAUUUGUUUCCAUUUAACAUUUAAGUCGAAUCAUGUAUCUACAACUUUGAUGUAACUUUUUAGUGGGGUGUAAAGUGGAGCAAUGGGUGUCAAACCAUCAUUUUCCAACUUUUUAACCAAAAUAGUUAUACCAUGAUAUAACUUUUAACUUCAAAUUUCACAAACACUAAAAUGGUUUUAUUGAUCCCAACUUUUCUUUACUAUCAUUAUUGUAGUUACAAAAUAAAAGUAUACCAUUGUAUUGCAAAAACCACUAAGACUUAAUUUCUACAAAAUUUAGUAACAAAAUCUUUAAAAUCUUUCAUUGACUAAAUAGUGGUACUUUCUUAAUAGGAUAGAUGUAAUUAUACAUUUAACUUUAAAUAACCAAAUUAAGCACACCCAUGAAAUUAACCUCAUAUGAAAUCCUAUUUUUUCUUUAAUAUACUAAACCUUAAACAAAACCCACAUGUCACACUUGAUCUCACAUCCUUAGCUUUACAAAUUAUAGUGACAAUAGACAAAAAAAAGAGAUUGAAGAAGUGUUUGAGUAGGAAAUAAAAGCAGCAUAGUAUGAGAGUGAGGUACCUAAAAUAUCACGAGCCAUGUCUCUGAAACGUAGCUGACGUUUACCAUUUUGGGCGUAGUGUUCAAGAACCCUAGAUAUUAAAUUAUAUGAAUAGAAGGUCACCAAUGCUCCAAUCACCAAGCUUAAGAUCCCAGCCGUCCAUCCAAGGAAGGUAAAUGCAUAAGGAAGACUCAAAAGAGGUGGUGCCACAAUCGAUGUUGUCAAAUGGUAUCCACAAUGCAUCCAAGAACCUGCAAAAUCACACACAAUAAAUAAUAUCAUAAAUAAUAAUAAAAUAAUAACAAUAAUAAUAAAAUAAUAACAAUAAUAAUAAAAUAAUAAUAAUAUCAUUUUUGAAUGUGUGGACAAUUUUUUUUCUUGUCUUAAUUGCUUGGUGUACAUCCACGUGCUCUUCAAUUAAUAAAAACCAAACAGUCAACCAAUUGGUUCAUCAAAGUCGGCUGGGGAAGGCAUUAACAAAAACGAAUUGAUUUCUACGAUGAAAUCAUGAUUCAUCGAAAGCUUGGUUUUAGCAAUCAUCAACCUCUCCAAUAAUUAUAAUAGAACCAAUAUAUUUAUUUAAAUGGUUACUAUUUUAUUCAAUUCAGCAUGUUUAUGAACUAUUCAGUAAAGUCUUACAGAUUAUAAUGCAUAGAAGUUUGAGACCAUUUGCACAAUGUUUAUCUACCACAUGUGCUCAAUACUUUUCAUACUCCAUUUGAAAAAACAUAAUUAUCUAUUAAUCACUGUAUACCAUUUUCUUAAAAUAGUGUAGGAAAUGGUAAUACUCCUCGGUAUGGUGUGGCUUUAGGAGAAGAAACGUGAGAGUUUGUAUUAGCUGUUCUAUUUUUAAUUUUUUUUAUUAAAAAAUAAUUUCAAGUUUAAUUCAAUAAAAAUGUCUAUCUAUUUAUAUAUUUUAUUUAUAUAUUUUAGUUGAUGUGAGAUAUUUAAUACAUAUAAUAAAUAUUGAAAGAUAAGUUAAACUAACUUAAAUGUAAGAUUAAAUAUAUAUGAAUUUUUAUAAAAUAGUUGAUUAAUUUUUUAUUAAAAUAAAAUUUAAAUGAUUUUAAUAUUAUAUUAAACAUUAGUCUAACUUAAUUUUAUAAAAUUAAUUUACAAUACAAAAUUUACAUUAACUUAUAGUUAACUCGCUUGACUUUACCUAGCAGGAUACUUUCUCAUACGCUCAUUAUUCUGACUAAAAGCAUACAAUGAGAUAUCAGAUAACUAUGUAGGUAAGGCUAUAAUUGGUGAUAAAGCAAUCAGAAAUCUUAUAUAAAAAAAUUAUUUCUAGUAUUACGGGAUAUGAUUGAUUAGUUAAUGAUUUAAAAUUUAAUGUUUUCUUACGAGCUGGGCUCGAACCAGCGCUUUUCAGAUUCAGAAUCCGGAUUUCCAACCUUCUGAUCGUGAGUUCAUGUAAAAUCCAAACUCUUAAAACAGUGCAACAUACUAGGAAAGCAAGAGGGAAAAGAAUCCUUGUAAACAGUUUUCUACAAAAGACGAAGCACAGAAGAAGAAGGAGAUACAUAAUAUAAGAUAAAACCUUCAGAUUUGAGGACAAAGAGAGCUCCCGCAUCAACAUCAUUUUGGUGGUGAAGUUGUUGAACACCAUUCGGGUUCUCAGAUUUUUCAUCUGGAAACAGAGAUCCCAUCCUCCCUCUUAUGAAGAAGACCUUAACCAAAGGAUAGAGUGAUUGAGAGCAGAAUAUGUAACACCAUAUG
rnacentral:lncRNA from 1 species